ACUCAAAGGAAUUGACGGGGGCCCGCACAAGCGGUGGAGCAUGUGGUUUAAUUCGAUGCAACGCGAAGAACCUUACCUGCCCUUGACAUCCUAGGAAGGCUGCAGAAAUGCGGCUGUGCCGAAAGGAACCUGGAGACAGGUGCUGCAUGGCUGUCGUCAGCUCGUGUUGUGAGAUGUUGGGUUAAGUCCCGUAACGAGCGCAACCCUUGUCCUUAGUUACCAGCACGUAAAGGUGGGGACUCUAAGGAGACUGCUGGUGAAGAACCGGAGGAAGGCGGGGACGACGUCAAGUCAUCAUGGCCUUAAUGGGCAGGGCCACACACGUGCUACAAUGGGGCGUACAGAGGGAAGCCAACCCGCGAGGGGGAGCCGAUCCCACAAAGCGCAUCGUAGUCCGGAUUGAAGUCUGCAACUCGACUUCAUGAAGAUGGAAUCGCUAGUAAUCGCGAAUCAGCAUGUCGCGGUGAAUACGUUCCCGGGCCUUGUACACACCGCCCGU
rnacentral:rRNA from 1 species